CCUACGGGUGGCAGCAGUAGAGAAUCAUUCACAAUGGGGGAAAGCCUGAUGGAGCGACGCCGCGUGGGGGAAUGAAGGUCUGCGGAUUGUAAACCCCUGUCAUGGGGGAGCAAAUUAAAAAGAUAGUACCACAAGAGGAAGAGACGGCUAACUCUGUGCCAGAAGCCGCGGUAAUACAGAGGUCUCAAGCGGUGUUCGGAAUCACUGGGCGUAAAGCGUGCGUAGGCAGUUGCGUAAGUCGUGUGUGAAAGGCGCGGGCUCAACCCGCGGACGGCAGCUGAGACGGCGAGACUAGAGUGAAGGAGGGGGAAGUGGAAUUCUCGGUGUAGCGGUGAAAUGCGUAGAUA
rnacentral:rRNA from 1 species